CCACAUUGUUUGUAGUGUAAAAUCAUUAUCAAAAUUAGAAACUGGCCAUGAAUAAUGGGACAACCCAAAAAUGAAAACUUCAUUAAUAAUGGGACGGAGGGAGUAAUAGUUUAAGAGCUUAUAAAUUGUUAAAGUGUUUGGAUAAUUGAGUUAAUUAAUUGAAGAGAUUAUAGUGAGUUACAUAGUAAAAAUCCUAAUUACAGAGUAUAAAUUGAAGAGAAACAAAAUUACAAGGGCAUAUAGCGGACUCUGAGUAGUUGUAGCUUUUGAGUUUCUUAUCUGUAUUGUUUAUCAAGUGUGUGUGUGUGUGUGCAGCCAACGGAAUAUGGAAAGAAGUGUCUCCGUAUUCCUUUAUCUUUGAACUGAACCAGCUUUUGUUCUCGAAAUACUUGGUCAUCCCCCGAAGCAUAAAAAUUACUCACUUCGUCCCGCGAAGCAUGAGCAAGUUCUUUUGAGCACGGGUUUUAAGGAAUUCGUGUUUUGUAUGUUAAAUGUCGUAGUAGGUGAAAAAAUAAAAAAGUGAAUGAAGGGAAAAACUUUUGCUAUAUAAAGAAAGUGCUCAAGCUUCAUGGGACAAUCCGAAAAAGAAAAUUGUUUCAA
rnacentral:lncRNA from 1 species